rnacentral:rRNA from 1 species
UACGGGAGGCAGCAGUGAGGAAUAUUGGUCAAUGGACGAGAGUCUGAACCAGCCAAGUAGCGUGCAGGAUGACUGCCCUAUGGGUUGUAAACUGCUUUUAUACAGGGAUAAAGUGCGCCACGUGUGGUGUAUUGCAGGUACUGUAUGAAUAAGGACCGGCUAAUUCCGUGCCAGCAGCCGCGGUAAU